UGUUGCUGUUCGUGUGGUCGUGGAGAGCUAUCGUCGUGUUGCCGUGCUGGAGAAUCCUGGAGGAAGCCGUAUCUUCAUGCUGUGUGCAGAAGAGGAACUCUGGCUAACUGGACAGAACGUAUGAUUCCCACCCUUUGGAGUGUGUAGAUUUCCAGCUUUCCCUCCUGUGAACCUGGACAGUGGUCUCUGCUGAUGACUUGGACAAGCUGCUAGCAAGCAAGUGGCUUGUUUUUCUCCUGCUGGUUUGAGGAGUUUCCUGGAUCAAACGAAGACAAUUGCCAUUAUCUUCAUGAUCUACAGGUAUCCCCCCCUCGCUCGUCACCUCUCCAGGGUGACUUAAGCCCCUUGGGGCUCCCUAGCAGGCUGAAAAGCAGUAUCGGGGAGCAGAACUCUGGACUAUAUCAUCACGACGUCAAGCCGGACUCCUCGUAAACCAACAAUCUUCUAUUAAGUUGUUCUUUCUUUCUACUUCCCUCCUUCCUAGCAAUAUUGCAUUUUCCAAAAGUUCUG